UGUGCAAAGGUAGCAUAAUCAGUUGGCUCUUGAUUGGAGUCUUGUAUGAAAGGGUUUUGGGGUAACAGCUGUCUCAGUUAUAUUUUCAGAAAUUACUUAAUAGAUGCAAAUAUCUAUAGUAAUAAAGUAGACGAGAAGACCCUAGAAAUUUUUCUAUAUAUUCUAAUUCUAUUUUGUUGGGGCGACAUAGUAACAGGUAACUUACUUUAUCAGAAUAAAACACUAUUGUGAAUAAUAACUUAAAUUACUCUAGGGAUAACAGCAUAAUCCUUUUGGGUUUGUGACCUCGAUGUUGGACUAGGGAAACUAUUCUUUAGAAGAAAAUAGUGUAUGUUCUGUUCGAACAAGAUUCUCUACAUGAUCUGAGUUCAAAUCG
rnacentral:rRNA from 1 species